rnacentral:rRNA from 1 species
UGGGGAAUAUUGGACAAUGGGGGCAACCCUGAUCCAGCAAUGCCGCGUGUGUGAAGAAGGUCUUCGGAUUGUAAAGCACUUUCGACGGGGACGAUGAUGACGGUACCCGUAGAAGAAGCCCCGGCUAACUUCGUGCCAGCAGCCGCGGUAAUACGAAGGGGGCUAGCGUUGCUCGGAAUGACUGGGCGUAAAGGGCGUGUAGGCGGUUUACACAGUCAGAUGUGAAAUCCCCGGGCUUAACCUGGGAGCUGCAUUUGAUACGUGUAGACUAGAGUGUGAGAGAGGGUUGUGGAAUUCCCAGUGUAGAGGUGAAAUUCGUAGAUAUUGGGAAGAACACCGGUGGCGAAGGCGGCAACCUGGCUCAUGACUGACGCUGAGCGCGAAAGCGUGGGGAGCAAACAGGAUUAG